GUGCCAGCCGCCGCGGUAAUUCCAGCUCCAAUAGCGUAUAUUAAAGUUGUUGUGGUUAAAAAGCUCGUAGUUGAACCUUGGGCCUGGCUGGCCGGUCCGCCUCACCGCGUGCACUGGUCCGGCCGGGCCUUUCCCUCUGUGGAACCCCAUACCCUUCACUGGGCGUGGCGGGGAAACAGGACAUUUACUUUGAAAAAAUUAGAGUGCUCCAGGCAGGCCUAUGCUCGAAUACAUUAGCAUGGAAUAAUAAAAUAGGACGCGCGGUUCUAUUUUGUUGGUUUAUAGGACCGCCGUAAUGAUUAAUAGGGACAGUCGGGGGCAUCAGUAUUCAACUGUCAGAGGUGAAAUUCUUGGAUCAGUUGAAGACUAACUACUGCGAAAGCAUUUGCCAAGGAUGUUUUCAUUAAUCAGGAGCGAAAGUUAGGGGAUCGAAGACGAUCAGAUACCGUCGUAGUCUUAACCAUAAACUAUGCCGACUAGGGAUCGGACGGUGUUAUUCAUGACCCGUUCGGCACCUUACGAGAAAUCAAAGUGCUUGGGCUCCAGGGGGAGUAUGGUCGCAAGGCUGAAACUUAAAGAAAUUGACGGAAGGGCACCACCAGGGGUGGAGCCUGCGGCUUAAUUUGACUCAACACGGGGAAACUCACCAGGUCCAGACACAAUAAGGAUUGACAGAUUGAGAGCUCUUUCUUGAUUUUGUGGGUGGUGGUGCAUGGCCGUUCUUAGUUGGUGGGGUGACUUGUCUGCUUAAUUGCGAUAACGAACGAGACCUUAACCUGCUAAAUAGCCCGCAUUGCUCCGGCAGUGCGCUGGCUUCUUAGAGGGACUUU
rnacentral:rRNA from 1 species